rnacentral:rRNA from 1 species
UCCAGACUCCUACGGGAGGCAGCAGUGGGGAAUAUUGCACAAUGGGGGAAACCCUGAUGCAGCGACGCCGCGUGAGUGAAGAAGUGAUUCGUCACGUAAAGCUCUCUCAGCAGGAAAGAAAAUGACGGUACCUGACUAAGAAGCCCCGGCUAACUACGUGCCAGCAGCCGCGGUAAUACGUAGGGGGCAAGCGUUAUCCGGAUUUACUGGGUGUAAAGGGAGCGUAGACGGCAGGGCAAGUCUGAAGUGAAAGCCCGGGGCCCAACCCCGGGACUGCUUUGGAAACUGUCCGGCUGGAGUGCAGGAGGGGUGGGCGGAAUUCCUAGUGUAGCGGUGAAAUGCGUAGAUAUUAGGAGGAACACCGGCGGCGAAGGCGGCCCACUGGACUGUAACUGACGUUGAGGCUCGAAAGCGUGGGGAGCAAACAGGAUUAGAUACCCCAGUA